UUAUGGCUCAGGACGAACGGCUGGCGGCGUGCCUAACACAUGCAAGUCGAGCGGGGACAUGCGACGGAUAGGAAGAUUCGGUUGGACUUGAAGAUGCAUUGUUCUAGCGGCGGACGGGUGAGUAACGCGUGAGCAACCUGUCCCUUACAGGGGGAUAACACAGCGAAAGUUGUACUAAUACCGCAUAAGACCACGGGAGGACAUCCUUCAGGGGUCAAAGGAGGAAUCCGGUAAGGGGUGGGCUCGCGUCCGAUUAGAUAGUUGGUGAGGUAACGGCCCACCAAGUCGACGAUCGGUAGCCGACCUGAGAGGGUGAUCGGCCACAUUGGGACUGAGACACGGCCCAAACUCCUACGGGAGGCAGCAGUGGGGAAUAUUGGGCAAAAUGGGGGGAACCCUGACCCAGCAACGCCGCGUGAGGGAAGAAGGUUUUCGGAUCGUAAACCUCUGUCCUUGGUGAAGAGGAAGAGACGGUAGCCAAGGAGGAAGCCCCGGCUAACUACGUGCCAGCCGCGGC
rnacentral:rRNA from 1 species